GGCGGGCCCUGCGGGAGCAAGUACGCAGGUGUGGGGUUUGGGGGACUUUGCGGGAGAGGCUCCAGAGGAGACACUGCCAGGUCUCUGCUGGAGGGAGAUGACCACUUUAGCCCGGAAAAUAGACUGGACAUGCAAGAAACAACACGAAAAACAUGGCGUACCAGCUCGGCCAUGAGCGCCGGUGGGUGCAGUGGGGAGAGGAACUGCUUGAGGUGGACCCGCUCUCCAGGGAGUCCUCCUUCCGGCUGCGGAGGCCUGAGCCGGGUGUGGAGAAUUGCGCUCUGCUUGUCCAGCAGGAGGGAGGCCGUUCUCCUCAGGCAGAUAAAGAGAGCAAGUACUUAACGGAGACACACGGCAGCAUGGAGACGGGGGGGUCACCCCACGACCGUUGGAGCAGCUGUGGUCUUUCCACUAAGAAGUAAAGUUUGCAUCUGGUCCACACCACUGUGCUCUGAAUAUCAGAAAUGGGAAGCGGCGCCCAAUGCUUCCAGUGAGGCAAGAACAAGUCACAGCAGCACAACAUCUGCAGCUGGAGAGGGGAUCAGCCUUUUCCAGAACAUUCCCCUCCUGAGCCAAGGGGACAGUGUAGUGGAAACCAGACUCACUUCUCCCUGAGAGUUCCCAGAGGAUUCUGGAGUUGCUACAUGAAAGACGUGUUGGGAUUCUUGAAUACAAGGCACGGAGGGCCAAGGAUUUUCUU
rnacentral:lncRNA from 1 species